GAUGAGAACGCAGUGAAAUGCGAUAAGUAAUGUGAAUUGCAGAAUUCAGUGAAUCAUCGAAUCUUUGAACGCACAUUGCGCCCGCCAGUAUUCUGGCGGGCAUGCCUGUCCGAGCGUCAUUUCAACCAUCAAGCCCCGGGCUUGUGUUGGGGACCUGCGUCCGACGCAGGCCCUGAAAACCAGUGGCGGGCUCGCUGUCCACACCGAGCGUAGUAACUAACCUCGCUAUGGAGUGGCGCGGGCGCCUGCCGUAAAACCCCCAAUUUUUACAAGGUUGACCUCGGAUCAGGUAGGAAUACCCGCUGAACUUAAGCAUAUCAAUAAGCGGAGGA
rnacentral:misc_RNA from 1 species